UUGAUUUGAUUUUAUAAUCAGACUCAGAGAUUCUGUAGAAAACAAGAGUUUCGGUCCCUCGGCGGGCGCCUGGAUCCGGGGCACACCUGUAAGGGCGCGCCCGGGGCGUAUCCGCCGAAGCAACAGUGGUAAGUUCACAAUGGGUUUGGGAGUUUUAACACUCUGUAAUGAUCCCUCCGCUGGUUCACCAACGGAGA
rnacentral:misc_RNA from 1 species